AGAGUUUGAUCAUGGCUCAGGAUGAACGCUAGCGGCAGGCCUAACACAUGCAAGUCGAGGGGUAGCAGGGUAGCAAUAUCGCUGACGACCGGCGCACGGGUGAGUAAUGCGUAUGCAACCUUCCUUUAACUGGGGCAUAGCCCGGAGAAAUCCGGAUCAAUACCCCAUAGCAUCAUGAAAAGGCAUCUUUUUAUGAUUAAAGCUCCGGCGGUUAAAGAUGGGCAUAUGUGCCAUUAGCUUGUUGGUGAGGUAACGGCUCACCAAGGCUGCGAUGGCCAGGGGGUCUGAGAGGAUGAUCCCCCACACUGGUACUGAGACACGGACCAGACUCCUACGGGAGGCAGCAGUGAGGAAUAUUGGGCAAUGGGCGCAAGCCUGACCCAGCCAUGCCGCGUGAAGGAUGAAUGCCCUAUGGGUUGUAAACUUCUUUUGUACGGGACAAAACUCCUGGUCGUGACCGGGAUUGAUGGUACCGUACGAAUAAGCAUCGGCUAACUCCGUGCCAGCAGCCGCGGUAAUACGGAGGAUGCAAGCGUUAUCCGGAUUCAUUGGGUUUAAAGGGUGCGUAGGCGGAAUAGCAAGUCAGCGGUGAAAGCCUGUGGCUUAACCAUAGAAAUGCCGUUGAUACUGUUAUUCUUGAGUGUAGUUGAAGUGGGCGGAAUGUGUAAUGUAGCGGUGAAAUGCUUAGAUAUUACACAGAACACCAAUUGCGAAGGCAGCUCGCUAAGCUAGUACUGACGCUGAGGCACGAAAGCGUGGGGAGCAAACAGGAUUAGAUACCCUGGUAGUCCACGCCGUAAACGAUGAUCACUCGUUGUUGGCGAUACACCGUCAGCGACUGAGCGAAAGCAAUAAGUGAUCCACCUGGGGAGUACGGUCGCAGACUGAAACUCAAAGGAAUUGACGG
rnacentral:rRNA from 1 species